GAGACAGAAAGAGAGAAAAAAGAAAGAAAGAAAGGAAGGAAGAAAAGAAGAAUGAAAGAAAGAAGGGAAGGAAGAAAGGAAGAAGGAAAGAAAGAAAGGAUCCUGAUAAUAUGAAACUACUUCCACUGCAGAUGCCUUGGUUGGAGCUGGCUGCACAUGUCUGGCCAUCAAGCUGCUAUUUCUGCCUGUGCCAGUCGCUCCAGGAUUGGAGCUAUGAGAAGAGAGCUUUGAAGAGCUGUCCAGGAAGCACCGUUGGACAACCAGAUGAGAUCCCCAGAUGUUUUGCUCAUAAGGGAGGAAUGUGAAGACCUGUCAGGAUUUGGGACAGAUGUCAGAUGAGCUAUUUAAUCUGAAUGCACAUUUUAUACAGUGUGUCUGGAUCUGAUGUAAGAAAAAGCAUGACCUAACCCAGUGUUAUAACUUAUGUAUGAUUUGGAGAUGGUAAAGGUGUCUCAGCAUUAAUCUCCAAAAUCCCCUUUCCAUUUUAAAGAUUAAGUAUCAUGGAUAACACAGUCUUUUUAGUAGACAGUUUACUUUAGAAUAUUACCAAAAAAACAAAAAUAAAAAUCCAUAGUGGAAUUCUUCAUUUAGCAAGAGGACAAGUUAAUCAUUCAGAACAUUAGUAAGAUAAGAUGUAAAAGUAACAUAUAAGCAUUACAGGUAGCAUAUUCUUACCUUAAUUUUGCUUUCUAAGGAUUUCACCAUUUGAACAUUAUAAAUAUUAAGGAUAAUUUAUGGCAGCAUUUGACAACAUUCAAUGGAUUUCUUUUUCCACAAUACAUUAAUUGUGUGGUAUAUGUACAAUGCUGUGAAAACAGUUUGCCUUUUUACAAUGGGGAGAAGCUCUUUAGCUAGUGCAGCAUUUUAGAAACAGAAUACCAAACAUGGUGGUUGCAGUGUGAUGGCCUUGGGCUGCUUUGCUGUUUUAUGACCUGGUAAACUUGAUAUUAUUCCAGGAACCAUUAAUUCUGCUCUCUAAUUUAAAUCUAUGAAGGAGAAUAUUGUCCAGUUGUGACAUAACAAUUUACCACAGGACAAAAAUCCAAAGUCAGUCCACUUUUAAACUUCUCAAACUAAAAGUUUUGGAGAGACUUAAUUAAAAUACGUAUGUUCUGAAAUCCAAUCGAGAUUCUGUAGUCUGAUUUUGAACAGGUCAUCCAUGCUUGAAAAUUCUCCACUUUGGUUAAAUUAAAACAAUUCUGGAAAGAAGAAUGGGCCAAAAUUCUUCCACUUAAAUGUAAAAAACUCAUUGUGACUUAUAGAAAACAUGGUAGUUGUUCACUAGUGUUUAGCUUUCGAGGACAGUUGAUUUCCAAGGUUGAUUUGAAAUCUGUAUAUUUGCUUAAAGUUUAUAUGUGGAGACAAGAGAGUCAGUAUCUGUUCAGCGGUGUGACAGAGUCAAAUAAUAAAGACUAUAUGUUGGGUUCCUCAACAACAUUUAGUUACACCAUAAUUGACUUUCUCAAAGCAGUUACAUUUACAAAAUCAAUACAAUUUUUGUUAUAGUGACAAAAAUCUGGCAUCAUAAAUUGUCUGUCUAUGCUGCCAGACAAUUGUUUUAAAUCAGUUGUCUGGCAGCAUGUAGAAAAAUUAAACAGCCACAAUGUGUCUGUUUCAACAAAUCAGUUGAAUCUUCCUGAUUCAACUGAUAUAUAAGCAGUGUAAAAACGAUUGUGUCCCACCUUGCAAGCUAACUUGACAACAAAACCAUUAAUGAAUUUUACAUGUUGGUCAUGGUUCUCUCAUACUAACUCUCAUAUCUUUCCAGCUUGUACUUCCGAUCUUUUUAUCCUAACUACUGAGACUGUUUCUGUGCAACCUACAAACCUGUACACAGAUAAAUAAAUAAUCCCAUGCUCAGACACUUAUUGCACACUAACAGAUUCCAGAAAAAAAUAAAUAAAUAAAAAAAUAAAAAAAAUGUAGGUAGUGGAAAACAAACCCAUUUUCUCACUAUCCUCUCUUUCCCACUUUCUGAGUUUAUGGUUUUGUUGCAGUUUCAGGAUAAUGGGGCAGUAUGUUUUGUAUUUACCUUUGGCAGCAUGGCUUAGUGAAUUCCAAAUGUUUCUUUUGAAGUAUGUGUGUGUUUGUGAGAAUGCCUCUAAUUGGACUCUGGGUUUAUUGUUUGUACAAGACUGUGAUGUUAGAGGCUUCAAUUGUUUGCCUCCCAGUUAGAAAAAUGCAGUAACCAUUGUUUUCUUUCAGUCAGUUUAUGUGCACCUGUUUUUAUUUCUCAUUUUGUGAGUCCUCAGAUCAGUUGAGCAUAUGUGAUGCGUAUUUGGGUAUCAGACUCCAAAAUGCAAAAUUUAUGGUAUAUUUUAAUUUACUGUUUGAUAAAACAAUGCUUUUACUCUACAACCUAAACUUAAUAUGAUUUUGAACCUAUAAAGAUCAAGCAACCACCAAAGUGUCUUUUAAUGACAGUAUAUUACAUAGGCCCUGAUCCUUAAACACCUUUACAUCAAUAAUGUCCAUCUUCAAUACUCCUAUACACCAAUUGUUGACAUUUAUACCUUUGUACUUCUGCUUUCUUCUUCAGUUGUCUGGGAAUUUUCAGGCUCCUUCAUUCCUUGUGACACAUCUACUUGAUGGCUAAUAAAUUAUUCUUAUCCCUAUUCCUUGAUAAGAGACAGUCAUUGGCAAUUAGCUCUGCUCCAUUUGCUUUAGAGUAGGACUAGCCUGUUGGCAACUCCUGUUAUUGAGAUCAAUCAGUUAAAAUGUAGCACUAAAGCUUGGAGGGCAGUUUGCGUGUUUGUGUGUGGGUUUUAAACGCCUUGUGUGAUCGAGACUGGAUGACUGCCCUCUUGAGAUCUUGAGCGAUUAGUGUGGAAAUUACUCUCAGAUUGCUGUGCAUUGUGCCCCAU